GACGAACGCUGGCGGCGUGCUUAACACAUGCAAGUCGAACGGUGAAGCGCUUGCCUUUUUGGUGGGUGUGGAUGAGUGGCGAACGGGUGAGUAACACGUGAGUAACCUGCCCUCUUCUUCUGGAUAACCUCAUGAAAGUGGGGCUAAUACGGGGUAUUCCGGGUCUGUCGCAUGGCGGGUUUGGGAAAGAUUGCGCCUUUGGGUGUUUUCGGUGGGGGAUGGGCUCGCGGCCUAUCAGCUUGUUGGUGGGGGGAUGGCCUACCAAGGCGGUGACGGGUAGCCGGCCUGAGAGGGUGGACGGCCACACUGGGACUGAGACACGGCCCAGACUCCUGCGGGAGGCAGCAGUGGGGAAUAUUGCAUAAUGGGCGCAAGCCUGAUGCAGCGACGCCGCGUGAGGGAUGGAGGCCUUCGGGUUGUGAACCUCUUUCGCCAGUGAAGCAGGCCUGCUCCUGUGUGGGUGGGUUGACGGUAGCUGGAUAAGAAGCGCCGGCUAACUACGUG
rnacentral:rRNA from 1 species